AAUGAACGUUGGCGGCGUGGAUUAGGCAUGCAAGUCGAGCGAGAACCCCGCAAGGGGGGACAGCGGCAAACGGGGUAGUAAUGUGUCGGAACGUGCCCUCUGGACGGGGAUAGCGGCGGGAAACUGCCGGUAAUACCCGAUGAUCUCGAGAGAGCAAAGGUGUGAUUCCGCCGGAGGAGCGGCCGACAUGGUAUUAGCUAGUUGGCGGGGUAACGGCCCACCAAGGCUGUGAUGCCUAGGGGAUGUGAGAGCAUGAUCCCCACCAUUGGGACUGAGACACUGCCCAGACACCUACGGGUGGCUGCAGUCGAGAAUCUUCGUCAAUGGGCGAAAGCCUGAACGAGCGACGCCGCGUGCGGGAUGAAGGCCCUUGGGUUGUAAACCGCUGUCGAGGGGGAUGAAGGCAUUCAGGUACUCCUGAAUGUUUGACAGAGCCCUGGAGGAAGCACGGGCUAAGUUCGUGCCAGCCGCCGCAGUAAAAC
rnacentral:rRNA from 1 species